UUAACCGUAUACGUUAUACACACAAUAGUUGCGAUAAGUCGUACAGCGUAGUACGCAGGUUCGAGCUUGUUUUCGACUCGAGCUUUCAACUGCAUAUAUGUAGCCGUGGAUUAUUACACCAUAAUGGUAUGUGUUUUUCACGAUUUAUUUUGAAUAAUUAUGAACAAUAAAAUAAUUGUGUGGUUGUGUAAAAGACAGAAUAGAUUAUAUUAAACAGUACUGCAGUAACAAGACUUACUGUUUGUGAUAAAGUGUUGGAUUUUUCCGAAUGUAUACUCCUUAAGGAUUGCGAAGACUUCCAUAUAACCUAACAUCUCUCUCUCUAUAGAAGGUAAAUACCAAAGCAACUAGCCGUAUGUCCAUGUUAAGACUAAACGGAUGCAUCUCUGCUUAAUAGACAUCUCUCAGUAAAGAAUGAUCGUCGACAACGCAAAAGGCCAUUAUGAAUAAUCAUGAAGACCGUUGAGGAAAUUUGAAGGAAACUGCGUAUCUACUUCGUAAGAUGAAGCAAUCGCCACCACGGUAUCUCAUACGAAUAUCUCUGUUCACCUGAGACUAAUACGGCGCCACCUGAACACACCUCCACCUUUGGAAACCACCGACAGACUCAUCAUCGACAACACGCCGGAUGCCGUCAUCAUCAUUAUCGUCAUCUUCAACGAACGUCCGUCGGUCAAGUUUUGAAGUCCUUUUGGACACACGGAAAGAAUCUUCGUGAGCACACCGCAACU